rnacentral:rRNA from 1 species
AACGCGAAGAACCUUACCAGGGCUUGACAUCCUCUGUAAAAAUGCAGAAAUGCAUUCCCCAUGGCAACAUGGCAGGGUGACAGGUGCUGCAUGGCUGUCGUCAGCUCGUGCCGUGAGGUGUUGGGUUAAGUCCCGCAACGAGCGCAACCCUUGUCGUGUGUUGGUCCACAAGAUCUCUCACACGAGACCGCCGGUGACAAGCCGGAGGAAGGUGGGGAUGACGUCAAGUCAGCAUGGCCCUUACGUCCAGGGCUACACACGUGCUACAAUGCGCGCGACAGCGAGUCGCAAACCCGCGAGGGUAAGCUAAUCUCUUAAACGCGCGCUCAGUUCGGAUUGAAGGCUGCAACUCGCCUUCAUGAAGUCGGAAUCGCUAGUAACCGCAGAUCAGCUACGCUGCGGUGAAUACGUUCCCGGGCCUUGUACACACCGCGCAUA